rnacentral:rRNA from 1 species
UACGUAGGGGGCAAGCGUUAUCCGGAUUUACUGGGUGUAAAGGGAGCGUAGACGGAUGGACAAGUCUGAUGUGAAAGGCUGGGGCUCAACUCCGGGACUGCAUUGGAAACUGCCCGUCUUGAGUGCCGGAGAGGUAAGCGGAAUUCCUAGUGUAGCGGUGAAAUGCGUAGAUAUUAGGAGGAACACCAGUGGCGAAGGCGGCUUACUGGACGGUAACUGACGUUGAGGCUCGAAAGCGUGGGGAG